rnacentral:lncRNA from 1 species
AUUUGACUCACGUAAAGUAUUGUUUUUCUUGUAACGGACAAUUCAAAUUUCCCAUUUCCCAAUGGAAACUAAAAACGUUAAUAUCCUAGCUAGGAGUUGAUUUCAGUAAUUUUCGUCGCGCAACACGUGUUUUACGUGAAAUUCUAGUUUAGAAAAUUGUAUCAGAAUGCUUAAAUUCGUAUCUUGUAAGCCCGUCAAUUUGAAUUUUCCGCGAAAAAAGUCCGUCAAUUCGGAUUUCCCGCGAACAAUGUGAAUUUUCUACUAGCCAAUGGUAUCAUAGUCAUCAACCAUCAUGAUGUUUCCCGCUAAAUUGCAAUUCUUCUGCUAGCCAAUUGUAUCGCAGUCAACUAACCAAUCACGAUUGAGUUUUGUUAUCACCACAUAUGUUUACUUCUUUUUGCGGUGGAGGUUAGAAAGCAUGAAAGCAACUCUCUGAUAACAAAUCGCCUUCUUGUGCCCAAAUAUUGUCUUUCCCUCAAGAUUUUCUCGGAAAUCUGAUUUUGACUAACCAAGUGUACACCAUUACAAUAGAUCAAUAAGUCAGUGCAAUAAAUCUUCUUCCUCCUCUUCAUCAGCAAUAAAUAACAGCUCCAAUGGUUUCCUCAACUAUCCAGAUUACUACAAUCCUUAUACAGCAGGGUACCAACCUGGAUAUAGCUCCUCUUACCCGGCCACAACAGGAGUUUUCAAGUUAUUCAAAUGCAUACGGACAGGUACAGGCAAUGGCAAACUAUUGUGCAGCUGCGUCGCAGGGAUGCACCACGUACCCUGGCUCUUUCAACACGUCGCCGUAUUCCUUAGCAGCUCCUUUACAGGUAAGAGUCAUUUUUAAUCUCCUUGCAUCAGCAUCUCACAAGCUUUGAAUUCUACUAACUGACCUGUUUCUCAAGUGUCCUGUCAGGAAUGAGGUUGACCAAAGUUUUAUGGUAGCAGCUGAGUAGUGAAUUUAUUACCAAAAAGCAUCUAGCUUCAUGACCAUUUUAAUUCAAGCAUGGAACGCAACUCAAGCCCCAGAACUUCCUUCAGAUCAAUUGGCAAGUUUUCAAUUUUGACUGAUAUGAAUAGUCAAUUGAUUAAUAUCUACAGUGCGCAUACAGGCAGCACCCAUUUGGUUGCCAUCAGUUGAUAAUAUCCAUGACACUCACACUAUAAUGUAUAGAUGAUCAUAUAUGUAUUAUUGUUCGUGAGCAAUCAUCUAUGCGUAAUAGGUGUCGCUGGGAAGGAAACCUUUCUCCACAGUAGCAAAAUUCUCAGUGAAACAGUUUUUUGAGUGGAUUUGAAAAAUUGGAUUUUGAUAUUUUGACGGAAAAAAUGUCUUCAGUGUCAGUGUCCCCAAGAAUAGGUUGCAAGUAGUAUUUGUUAUUAUUGUGCUUUAAGAGGUUUUAAAAGUCGCAUUAUAUCCGGCGAUUUAUUGCCCUAAACAAGGGAGAAGCUAGUUUUUCCAUGAAAACUUCUUAUUUUGUGCUGCAAACUUCAAAUCACCAUGACUUUGUUUAGGAUUGAGUUUUAAAGCCUCUUUGAUCUUAAACAAUACUCUAUGCUCUAUCACUUAAUUAAUCAGGAGUUUUAGGGGACCAGGGUUCCUUUUACUGUGGAUGGUCACAUAAUCUAAAAACUGAACAACAAUCAACUCACCUUGCUAGUUCUGGUGUGUGAUAACAGUAAGUAACGAGCUGCUCAAAAAUGAGAAGUGAGGAAACUUGUGAAUUUCAAGGAGAAAAAAAUCCAUAAAAUUGUACCAAGUGUACGGAUUAGAAACCUUUUAUAGUUUUUUCCAUCCAAAGAUGUUACCUUGUAUGUUUCAAGUUUUAUAUCAGGUACUUUAUUUUAUUUCAUAUCAAUGGUGAAACUACCAAACUAC